UAACGUUUUAUACUUCAAAAAUUAAAUGUGAGAUAAGUUAUAUUAUGGACAAAAAUCACGAUAUAACUUCUUACAGUUAUGUAAAUUUAAACGGAUAAAAUUUUUUGAUGAGUAUUAACCCCAAACCCACCUCAUAGCAUAGCGCUAUGGUAGGACCAUGGUCUGUUGCGCCAUGUAGUUUAGGUUGCAACAUUGUUAAGGUUAACGUUGAUUCAUACGGGCUUUGCUUAUAACUACAUAACACGUUAUAAGACAAGUUUUAACAUCACAGAUACUUAUGAGUUAUGAGUACCAUAAUGACCGGUGAGCCUUGAUUUUUGCCUACAUCAUUCGAAAAUACAUUUUGCAGCACGUUUCUUUUAUUAGACUUAUUAUUCAAUAUUUGGAACACUAAACGAUUGCCCCUUUGACAUAAAAGCUUUCUUUUGAAUGAGAGAGUUCAAGAGAUUGAUGAUCGGAAGCAUGCUAGAAUGUCUCGGUGGAGGAGGGGGAAAACUAACGAAGGUUAAGCCUGGCCUCAUGUUUCUCCUCCGGCUCGCCUGGGACUGUCGAACACGACUUCCACUUCUUAUCAUGUCUGGCUUUCUUGCCAUGGGUGUCCGGAUCCAGAUGGAAAUAAACAUCGACCGUGCCACUCGUUACAUGCCCAGGCUCAGGCUUGAAGACGAAGCAUUCCCACUUUCCGA
rnacentral:misc_RNA from 1 species